CAUAACAUACAACAGGGCUCAUAUCUCAACUUGAAACACCAUCUGAGGAGACAGUAAAACCCACACCAAGUCAGGCAUGUCCUUGCAAGAAUGGUGUCAAAUGUAAGCCAGAUCCAGAAACUGGUGGGCUGGUGUGUUUGUGCUUGAAUAACUAUUAUGGGGAAUACUGUGAAAAGGAGCCUUCAGCAUUCACUGGAGCUGAUGCAAGUUCACGAAAGUUGAAAUGACCAUAGAAUCUUUUCUUAGAUCC